UUUUUCCCGUGCGAUCACCGAAGUUAAGCAAUACCUGAGCCUGGUCACUACCUAGAUGGGUGACUGCUUGGGAAUACCAGGGGAUGUAAG